CCAAAAAAAAUUGUCGAUUGCUCUUCACUAAACAAACCCUAAAACAAACCCUUGCCUGCCUCUUUCUCACAGCCGCUCAAAGUCUUCUCUCACCUACCUCAUCUCUUUCUCUCACUUGUCUCCUCCCCCUUUCUCUGGAUCCCCCAUCUUUCUCUCACCUUACCUCCAUCUUAUUCUCUCUGAUUCUCUCAUCCUCUCAGACUCUCAUCUCCAUUUAUUCAUUUCUUGUUACUUCUCUCUCAUUCUCUUCUCAACCAUACAAAACACAAUAAUAAAUAACAAAAUCAAAACAAUAUAAAUAAAAACUUACAAGAAGAACAAGUUUGGGUGCUUGUGUUGAUUUUUGAAAGGUUGGUCUUUGGAGAUUUGUCCUCUUCAUCUCUUUUCGUUUGCCCAUGGAGAUUUCGAAAGGGCCGUGGUGAUUGGGGGCGAGAAAUCACGUCGACGAUAGCGUCUCCGUUCAGGUUCUAUUGUUGCAGCUUAGGCGUUUCUUUGGGCACAUAUCAACUACCCUUUUCUUAUGGAAGAAUUCCCUUAUUUAAGGAUUCUGAGGCAAAAUGUCAAUCUUCUUGGUGAUUUUGUUUAAUUUAGGUGGUUGUAAAUUAAGUUAGAUUUCUUAAUUUUUUGGAUGUAAUUAUAUUGGUUAUUUAAUUUAUUAAACAUUUAUUUUUAGUGAUUAAAUUUUUUGGUUGA